ACCACGGUAGGGUCAGCGACUGGGAUGAAGUCGUAACAAGGUAGCCGUAGGUGAACCUGCAGAAGGAUCA
rnacentral:rRNA from 1 species